rnacentral:rRNA from 1 species
AUUGAACGCUGGCGGCAGGCCUAACACAUGCAAGUCGAACGAGUGGCGGACGGGUGAGUAAUGUCUGGGAAACUGCCUGAUGGAGGGGGAUAACUACUGGAAACGGUAGCUAAUACCGCAUACCAUCGGAUGUGCCCAGAUGGGAUUAGCUAGUAGGUGGGGUAAAGGCUCCACUAGGCGACGAUCCCUAGCUGGUGUGAGAGGAUGACUAGCCACAUUGGAACGUGUACACGGUCCAGACUCGUUCGGGAGGCAGGAGUGGGGAAGAUUACACAAAGGGCGAAAGCCUGAUGGAGCCAGGCCGCGGGUAUGAAGAAGGCCCUCGGGUUGUAGAGUACUUUGAGCGGGGAGGCGUUACCCGCAGAGGAAGCACCGGCUAACUCCGUGCCAGCCGCCGCGGUAAUAC